UCUAGUUACUUCCCUCCACCUAAGUUACUUUAAACUCUCAUCCACCGCAUUUUCUCAAUCCACAUAACUUUCAACCGCUUGGAAUGUCGGCAAUCAAGUUUCUUCUUCCCACCGCUCCCUAGGCUUCUCCAAACCUUCUCCUCUCUUUCUUUUGAAAGAAAUUGACACAAAGAGGCUAAAAAUUGAACUCAUGGGAGUUCUAAGUUCUCGGUUCCUCUAUGAUACCACCGGAGAGUGCAGUCGAUCGAUCGCUUAGUUCGCUUCUUCGAUUCCGCCAUAGCCGACGCCGCCGAGUCCGCCUCCACCACAUAACACUCCGAUGAGUCUGCCUCCACCAUUACAGAAGUCAGCGACAUCCACAGCCGACGAGUCCUGCUUCGAUGUCGGAUACAUUCAAUGCCAAUAAUUCCUAGGACGGGGCUUUCUAGUGAUGCAACACCUCGACUGGAUUUUCUUCUGGAUUUGGAUUUUCCGAUUUUGGGAUUACCUCAAUUGUUGUUGUCAGGAUCUGAUUGCUAGAGUUUGAUCCCGUCUCCUUUUGUAUUCAAUCGAUGGAAAACAAGUCGCAAGGCAGAUACCUUCUCGCCACCACCAUCAGAUAUUGGACAUAGAAGGCAGCGAAAGGUGGUCAUUUUUUCCCUCCUUAAACCUUUACAAAGUUGAUUCAUCUAUAGUCUUUCAAAUAUGAGGCUAUCUGGGUUUUUCUAAGGUGUCGAUUUGUUUUGUAUUUCAACGAAAUUGAACAAAUUCUAUUCUUUUACAAAAGCAUGAUCGCGACUAUGGGAAGAGAAGUUGGUCAGACUCUAUUACCCAUAUUUGUUAUAGAAGGUUAGAAACAAUGAUGAAAUUGAAGAUCAAUAAUACAAAAGAUGUCAAGUCUACUGAAGACGAAAUAUGGAGGGAUCUCUUGGGAAAGGAGAUCAGCUGGAUGGAGAAAGCAUGUCGAGAAAAGGAGAUGAUGAUGAGGUUUUAUUCUGCAAGUCCAUGAUACUUUGGAUUCAUAGAAUCCGGGAAGGAACAGAAAGGUUCAUUUCAUAACAUUAUGGUAUAAUAACACACCAUUUAUAACGUGUUACAUGUUCAACUAUGCCGAUCCACCGACUACUAUUUCCUUUGGUGCUAUUUUGAGAGAGGCAUCAGGUUGCUGCAAAGAGAGAAUGCAUUUUAUUUUCUAUAGUUCGACUAUUAAUUGAUUAAUAUUAUUUUCUCCUUUCGCUCCUCAUGAAAUUUUCUUUUGUAAUAUGCGACAGGUACCUGAUGGUUAUUCCCAUGUAUGGCACCCAUAAAUUUCUCAUGUAAAAAACCUGGUGGCUGCUAUUUGCAAUGCAUGCAUUAUAAGCACAUUUUGUACAAAGCAAUGCUAUAGUAUCACUUUAAUACAUUGUGGAGCAUAUAUCUAUAAUUCAUUCUCAUUCACUUUGUCAGAUUUAACUGCAAAAUUAUGAAUAUAGUUACCGCUUUCAAUUA